GUUGGAAAAAAGCAGUACUGGUCGUCCUACAGUAACUCCCAUGACAUCUGAUGAUGAUGACGCUGCGGAAGCAGGUCCAUCAAAAGAAGUCUGGAGCAGCAGAAGUAGGACUUCUGUAACACACCACCAAAAAAAACAUGUGGCACCAAAGAAAGCAAGGUCUUAUGUCCAGGGCCAACCACAGCAGGCUACCCCGCCACGAAGAUUAUCGACAGUAUGUUCGGUCCCCCCACUCCAAAUUUUGGACACACCUCCAAGACGUGAACCACACUCCCCUCAUCUUGAUUGUCCCACCGAGAUCAACCCAACAUUGACACACGAAAAAGAAAGGUGGGCUAAAGCCGGAACACCUGAAUCAACAGUGGCCACAGCAACCAGCUAAAGAAGAUCCAAGCUACUGUGACCAGCACACAACCAAUCCCUGUGAAAGGUGCUUGUCAUAAUCUACAUCCUGGUGAUGAGGUGAUGGUCAGAAAUUUCCUGAGAUCGGGCUCGCUGACAGACCGGUGGGAAGAACCUUAUCAAGUCUUGUUGACAACCCCAACUGCUGUUAAGAUAAAGAAGAAGACUUCGUGAAUCCACUCCACCCACUGCAGAAAAGUCACGCCUCCUGAGACAGCACAUGUGGAAAAUAUUCUCCAAGACUCCUCUGCACUUCACCAGUAAAACCAGCAAGUGAGUGGUUCGGGCAUAAUAAUCCCUUGAGCCACUUGCCAACGCAGUAUCUCUGUGGAGGGUACAUAACUCCUAGAAGAGUACUGUGAAGAUCAAAGGACAACAAAGACAAUGCUAAACAAAAUGAUGCUGAUAGGCCAAAGGCCAGACCGUGAACUAUGGGGGUGCAUUCUCUCAUGGGCAUGUCUGAUUACAAUCAUACUCAUUGUGCUUGAGUGUUGUAUAUACAUUCCAGGGUCUGUUAACAAUGUGACCAGUCAAACAGGUAAUGUAACGUCUUACAAUGAAGCGUUAUUCAAGACACGUGUGUGUAGGGCUUUACAAAAGAAUAAUUAUGAAGAAGAAUUUACAGGUAAUUCCAUGAUAGCAAUGCACAGUAAAAUUGCAAAGGCUCUCAACACAAGCAAAUGUUGAAUUUGUACCCACCUACCCAUCAGUGUAGAUGCAGGUAUACCCCUCCUGGCUCAUUACAUAAGCACAGCUGACAUGAUAGACAGAGAUUAGUCCUGCCAUAAGCAAAAAAAUGGUAGUCGAAGUUGUGCCAAUAAAACACCUAAAGUACAGAAUAUAGUAGACUUCCCAUAUUUGGAUGUCUUAAACGCAGGCUUGCUGUAUGCGCCCGCUCUGCAGGUAUCUGCAGCCAAAGGGAAACCUGAAUUCUGCUUAAGUGUUAAUAAAAAGUCCCACCCAUAUGUGUACAAGGAAAAAAUAUUACAGGUAAAAAGCCCAAACCUAGGGUACACUAACUAUACUGGAGCCACAUUUGUAGUUCAAAGUUCAAAAAAGUGUACACUAAAAACCCUCAAAACCUGUUGGCAUUCCAUAGAUGCAAAUGGGGCAUUAACACCUAACGAUACUUUAUACCAACUACAGAAAAAGGUGUACACUUGAUAACAGCACAUGUGAAGAUGCCAAUGGUAAUAACACAGAGUACUUUAUGAUAUACAUAAGGUUCAUUUAUACCAAAACUUUUGGGAUGCCUCUGCCUAAGGGUAUGUAUUGGGUUUGUGAAAAAUGGGCAUAGUCAUGAAUUCCCUUGGGUGCUAAAGGACAAUGUGUACUCUCCUCAGUAUUCCUAUAGCGCAUGACUUGGUGCCAAGUGACCUGACAUAUUUAAGACAUCUCAGUAAAAGAGAAGUAAAAAAAAGGAUAUGUAUCUUUCAGAUUUUCUGAUGCUGAACGUACGGCUGGAACUUUGUUUCCUCUGUCCACUAUCUAUUUGGUAAAAAAAGUUGUGUCCCAAACCUUAACGGUACUAGAUCAGAUGGUAGAAAAAUUGGUAGUUUCAAUCAAUCAGACAGUAAAAGAGCUGGCUCAAGUAAAAAAAGUGGCUUUACAAAAUAGAAGCAAGGUGGAAAAGUUGCAAGAAAAAAUGAGAAGGUUAGGUGCUAGUGAAGGUUGGGAUCCACUUAAAUGGCUAGGAGGAAAUAUUGCAAAGCUUUUUUCUGGAGUAUUGCAGUACAUUGUGUUUGCUGCACUGAUUGUAAAAAUCAUAUAUCUUACCAUCAAGUGUGGACCAGUAGUCUGUGUACAAUGUGGUAAAGGAUUUAAAAGGUUGAAAGUGCACCAUAAAAUGACCAUUGUGGUGGUAGAUGAUGAGGUUCCACUAGAACAGGUGACUCAGGGAACAAGUCAGGGGCAGCAGAAAAGACAGGUGGUAUAUGCUGACAUGAGCAAAUCUUAUGAAAGUUUACAACUCCAGGAAGCUGAGCCCAUAUACCAGGCUUUAGAGGAGGAUCAGGCAGGUAGAAAAAGUACACAGCUUGUUAAUUUUACUUAUGGACUGGAUAACAGGGUAGAAAUGAAUCAGGAUGAGUAUGUUAGACAUGAAAUACAAGCGAGUUUCACCUAACUGUGUCAACACCCUCUUAGCCAACACCAGAAGGUUCCUAUAAAAAGAACAGGGAUUCCCGUCCAGUGCGGUAAGCAUUGGCGCCAGGCCCAUCCCCGUGAACCUACCUUUUUCCUAUGUUGUGCGUCUACCUAACCCUCAUUAAAAAUUGUGAAAUUGAACCUUCUGAUUUGUGUAUUAGAGUGCCAAGUAUAUUGGCAGAGAGAGGAAUAAUAUAGAUAAGUGAAUACACAAAAUGGAAGCUGGAUGUCAGUUUGUCUAUUGCUUAAAAGAAACUGUUGCUUUAAAUGAGAUUCUUAUAUGUUUGCAGAAACUUUGAUUUUAGUAGCAAUUAAGGAAGUUAGUCUAGCUUUACAGUAUUUCAUAGACUGUGGUUAGCUAGUAUCCUAUAGAAAAGGGAAGUCGAAAGUAUGUUGAAGGUAAAAGUAUAUUUUUAAUGUAACAGUCAUAAUCACAAGAUGCUGAGCUAAUUAAUUGGAAAUCCCCCAUAAGGGGAGUUUAUAAAUUAUAAUAUAUUCUGAUAUUUGAAAUGUAAUUGGUCUAUGUAUAUGAUUGGCUUGUUAAUUUGAUUAGAUCAUGUAAUGCUAUGAUAAAAGUAUAUAAGAUGAAAUCAACGUGUCAAUGUGCAGUUCAUGAUAUUCUUUUAUCGUGAGCCCUGUGAACUU